GUCGAUUUGCACAUUAGCCUUUUAUUUUAUAGGAUAUGUUCAUAGUAAAUGACAUAUAGGCUCAGCGACUUGUUUCAUGCCAUGUAAUUGGGAAAAUCCAGGGCUUGAGCCCAGGACUCUGAUGGUGAACUCUGGCUCUCUGUUUAAUAUGCCAGAACUAUCUUUAAGAUAUAUGUUCCUAAUAUUUAAAUAGUCCACUUUGUCAAGCUAGUUGCUGUCUGGGCUCGCAUCAGGAUGCUCCUAUAAUGAGAUGUUCUUAUGAGAGCCAACUUUCUGGAGUCACUUAUUCUUUCAAGCACAGAUAUGUCAUUUGACUACUGAUGUCCUAUAAGAUCUAUGAUCUCGGUGACCUUCCAGAACUUCGGGUAAAUUUUCCAGGAUUUCCUCAGGAUCCCACUGGGAUUCUUAUCUGUUUUCGGUUGUGAUUUGUCACCUCGCCCGUGUUCUCUUGAUACCAGUUGCUAAUCUUAUCUGCACGCCUGCAGCCUGAUAUUUUCUCUCUGCUUCAUUUGUCCUAAACUUGGACAGAAUCUUCUCUCAAUUCUCUAAUGCACCAUUAAUAAAAGAUCAUGAUGCGAUACAAUCUUUUCCUAACACUUGGGGUGUAUUUCAGGGAAAUUGUAGCAUGGUGCAGGCAAUGUUAAAUUUUAAUAUGGGAUCCUUUUGUUGGCCUCCAGCCUGCUGUCUCUUUAUAGAAAAAUAUCUGCCUGUCUCCUCUCACCCCAGUGUGCCAGAAAGCUCAAAAUUCUCUUUUGUGUGCCAAACUGAACCCAAAGUCAGCUAGCUUUAGAAAUGCCAGUUCCCACCAUGGCUCAGUCAAGAAAAUAAUUGUUAAUGUCAUUUUAUAUAAGUUAAUUAAAUUAGAUAUUAGGGCCAUAAACAUAAUCAUGUUAGACACAGCCCCCUUGGAAACUAAUUUUAAAAUGCUAUGUUAUUUUUAUGGUUCAGGGAGUUUUGCAGAUACAGACCACUUAUGUAUCCAGUUACAGAAUAAUAUGAAACAAUUUUACUAUGAAACAGUGAAAUCUGGAUAGUGAGAUAGGAAAGAAAUGAAAAGUAACUAAUAUUUAUCUAAGUGGCUUUUCAACAAUGUGAUUUUUCUCUCAGAGAAACUUUAAUGUACAGAAAGACUGUAGUUAUUUGAGAGAUAAAUUACCACUGUUUCAUUAAAGUGACAAUCAUAAGAAUGCUUCAGCUUAGCUUUAAAUUCAUCUCAAAAUCUCAUUAUUCUACUCAUAUUAUUGAUAACUUAGUAAUUAUAUUUCUUCAGGUACUUUAAAUUGUAUCUUCACACAUAAUAUGUUUAUUUAAUUAUAUUUUUAAAUAUUCAAAUGCUGACACAAAAAAAGCAAAACUUUCCCAAAAUUUAAACAAAUCUUGUACACCUAAUAAAUAAACCAUUUCAGCACAGUGAGUCAGGAGUUCUUUAAACCGUGUCAGUAUUCUCCAAAUUGUUGUCAUGAUGCUGUGAUAGUAUUCAGCUGGAUUGAAAUCUCGACUGAUCUUUCAGAAUAUCUAGAAUGACUUCAUCAAACAUUAUAGGCUUCUCAAUGCUAAAUGUAUGCAUGUCAUUCCAAUGAUUAAAAUUGUAUGCCUAUUUCUACCAUCUAUCAAAAUAAAAGCAUAAUAUGCAAAUCAACCGAAUGGCCAAACAUCAGAACAACUGUCUGGAUGAUAUUCCAGAACACCUUCCAGAUGAAGCUGGGGCUGUGAGGGCUGAGGCAGCCAGGGCUGCGAAGGCCUACUCUUGCAAGAAUUUCAUGCAUCAGGCCUCUAGUUAAAUAAUAAAAUCCAUUUGUUUAUUUAUUUAAACUUCUUUAUAUUUAAUAAUUAACCUUUCCAGGAUUAAAGAAAUGGCCAGGAAAUCAUGUUAUCAUAUGUAGCAAGUUAAAGGCAGUUAUCAGUUCAAAAACUGAGGCUAGAAUGUUGAACCUGAGAGAAACUUACACCCAGGAUAUUUGACUUUCAACAUUGAUGACAAACCGAGCUCCAUGACAAACAUCUGUGAACAGGAGAUUUCAGUUAUAGUUGUGUACUUCUAAAGCAUAUAAAACACAUUAUAAUUUCCAUCCUUGUUUCUACCACACACCACCUUAUUUUUCCCAGUUCUUUUUUCCUGUAUGGGUUGGAGAAAAUCUAUAACCUCCUAUCAGUGCAACACACACAUGCAAUCACCUACAAACACACACAUAUGUACACACAUGUACAUACGCAUUGCAGCUAAGUUGCUUCUUAAUCUCUUUAUUAUGAUUGUAUUGGAUUGUGUAUCAAUAAAAUGUUAUUUAGGUCCAGCCAGACAAAAAUUCUCAUAGAUAUUUUAAUGUACCUAAUGGGUUCUGCAUACCUCAGGCCUUUUCCUGGCUCUGUGGUCCCCACACUUAAAUCAUGCUCAUGACACAUUGAUGUGCAUGUGGUUUUGCGUACAUUAGAUGAUCUAAGCUUUAUAAGUUGAGGGAGGUAUAUAUUUUUAUUCUGUUUUCUAAAACUAAAAGAGUGCCUCAGAAAUUCUAAACGACGUACGCCAUGUCACAGAGCCAGUGAGUGAUAGGCAGGGAAGGAAGCCCAAGCUGAUCUGGUGCAAAGCUAAGACCUAUCCACUACCACAUGGGGCUCUGUUCUUUUAAUAACCACCAUGGGAAUAUUUAUGGAAACGCUAUAUGCUAGGCACAGAUUUUGGAAAAGGUACAAAAGAUUUACUCUAAUGAGAGGCUAUGUGGAUAAAGUGGGAGUUACAAACCUAUAAUGGCUCCAAGUACAAAAAGAAAGGCUGUGGUUAGCAUGAAGGAGUAAUGCAGUUCAUGUCAGUGUGGGUGAUGUUGGAGCAGCACUGUGUAGAGGAAAGAGCUGGGCAAUCUCAAUUUUAAUGCUUGGGUUGUUUAUUUGCAGUAUGACUUGGGACAAGUUACUUCGCCAUUCUGGGCCAUAGUUUCCCUAUUUGUAAAAUAAGAAUACUAGUAUCUACUGCACUGUUUUAUUCUAAAAAUGGCAGAUACAAAGGACACAUUAAAUAGUAUGUGUGUGUUUCCAUAUGUUUGAAAAUAUGCGCAUUUAUAAUUUAUUUUAGUAAAGUCCACAUGUAUAUUAUCUUUUCAAUAUACGCAUUUACUUGUUCUGUGCAGUUCAAUAAAGCAAUUACUAUACCAAUUUUUUCAAAACAUAAUUUUGCCAAUACUAGUCCUCUUAGAAAAAUGACAUGUUUUCUGUGCACACAUUUGGGGAAAUUAUGGAACAAGACCACUGUACUUUACUUAGAAAGUAAAAAUAUAGCAUAUGUUAAAUUAAGUUUAAUAUUAUCAAUUUCCAAUACAGAGUAUUUACAUAUUUUUAAGACUUAGUCUUUAAUCAAGGACCAAGUCACUUUCUAACAUCCAACCCAAUUUCUCUCGCUCAUAAACAAAUAUUUCUUUUCUUGAUCUUCCCUAUUUAUGAAUGCAAAUUUAAUGUAGAUAGUAUUCAAUCAAAUACACACUUAGGUACCACAACAUAUUUUUAUUUUCUUUUUAGUUGUGUUUUGAUUUCUUUUUUCUCUUUAAGGCAAGUCUUCCAAAGCAUGGCAAUUUUUCUCCAGGAUAAUGGAGGCCAUGUAGCAGGACAGUUUUGACUGACACAGUCUUUUAUGCCAAGAAUACUUAUGUAAAAGUGCUUUAGAGGCGCUUGUUCCCAUCUUAAUCCCCUCAUCAGUGAUUUCCUUUGGACCUCUGAAUUUCCUUUUACCUGGUACCAACAACAGUAAAAUAAAACCACUCAAAGCACAAGAAGGGAACACUCCUUCACACCCCUCCUCUCAUUCAACAUCUGCUUUCCUCUGCUGUUUGAAGAGACAUUUUGAAGAGAAAGGGAAUCACAGUAGUAAUUUGAACCAGCUUAAGCAGUUUUGAUGUUUGAUGAAGCCAUCUGUAAUGAGGAUUUCAAAUCACCAAUAUAAUCAGUGUUUGCUUAUGUUAAAAUUCUGUGUCUUACGCAUUGAAUUUAUGUAGUUCUUGAAAUCAUUUUUUAUAUUUUUCACUAGCUCAGUAAGUGACUGUUAUUUAUUGGUGGCAAUAAGUUAAAUUUUGGCUGGUUAGGGUUUGUAUUGUCUUAUGUUUUCUGAAAAUGUUGAACCUGAGCUAAAAAUUUAUUUGCUUGUUUAUUUAGAAUUAAGAAUACUCUUUGGCAUGACUAGUCACAUACAUAAUCAUAUAUCCAGUAUGUAACCAUUUGUUAAUUUGAUAGUCUUUGUACAAUGAAAUAAAUAUAUCACUAUUUUCCUUAAUUUCUAUCAAGUAACUCCUGCAAUGAUUACUAUAUUUCUCUUGAAACAUCAAUUAUUAAUUUUCCAGGUUAAAUCUUAAUUUUUCCACAUUUAUGGUUAAGCAAAUGAAAUAAAAUCAAGCAUAAUAGAUUUUUAAUAAAGGUAUAUUCUUGAGAAUAUAAGACAAUUAAAUUUUCAAUCAAAGGAAUAUACACUGAGUGGCCAGAUUAUUAUGACAGGCCAGAUUAUUAUGACCACCCCAUCAAUACUUCAUUGGGCCACCUUUUGCCUUCAAUACUGCGGCGAUUCUUCUUGGCAUUGACUCCACGAGAUGUUGAAAGGUGAUGCGAGGAAUCUGACACCAUGCCUGAUGAAUAGCACUGUCCAGUUCUGUGAGAUUUGAUUUUUGUGGAACCAGCUUCCUGGUGGCUCUUUUAACUUUGUCCCACAAAUGCUCAAUUGGAUUGAGGGGGCCACCUAAGCAAGGUAAAGUCUCCCUCAUGUUCUUGAAACCACUACUGCACAAUAUGAGCACCGUGGCAUGGUGCAUUGUCUUGUUGGAAAAAGCCAUCUCCAUUGGAAUACGCCAUCAACAUGAUAGGAUGAACUUGAUCAGCAACGAUACUUAGAAGGGAAGGACUUCAAGAUGGCAGAGCCAAGGAAGAAAAGCCACUGGGGGCGAGACCCUGACCACAUUUGUCUGUGACGUGAGCUAGGAAGCCACUGAUCUGGGGGUGUUUGUUCCAGCAGCUGCUGUUACUAAUGUUGUUCAAUGUAACAGUUUAUAUCAGGUGUUUAAGGCCGCCCACCAUAGAUGUGCGGCUUUCCUAGGAGCCAAGUUCUACCCUGGAUCAGGAGCCAGAAAACCCAUGAAAAUAAACCUGGAGGCUGGCCCUGGCCUCAGAGAGCACCACAGCUAAGGACAGGAGCCAAGACCUGGGCAAGAGUGGUAUUCCCUCAGAGGUAACAGCCAACGCUCCAACCAACAAUAGAGGGUGACAGGAAAGUGGCAACUUCUUAACACAUUUGAGAGGAAACCUAUUUGGAACCCAGGAAAGACCAAAUCACUUUAAACAGACAUUCUAAAUCUUUAAACAGUAAAAAAAAAAAAAAAAAUAGUGCAUUAGGUUUUCUCUCAUUCACACCUCUAACUCUGCAUUGUUCUUCAUGAUGAUUAAAAGAAAAAUCUCUAUAUGUAUGUUAAUUACAUGAAGGAUAUUCUUUAGAAAUAUAUCCUAUUUUACACAAUAGUUAUGCAUUAUAGCAUAAUUUGGUAAACUAAUAUUAGGUUAAAAACAAAAUUAUGAGGAAGGCACAAAGAUUUCCCAUGUAUGCCUGCCCCAGACAUGCACAGCAUCCAUCAUGAUCAACAUCCCACACCACAGUGUUACGUUUAUUGCCAUUGAUACACCUACUUUGACAAACCAUUAUUAACCAAAGUCCAUAUUUCACCUUAGUGUUGGUGUUGUAUAAUCUAUGAGUUUGGACAAGUGUAUAAUGACAUGUAUCCAUCAUCAUGGCAUCAUACAGAGUAGUUUCACUGCCCUAAAAAUCCUCAGUGCUCUACCUAUUCUUCAGUCUUUCCCCUCCCAUUUCCUAACAACCACUGAUCUUUUUACUGUCUCCACAGUUUUGCCUUUUCCAGAAUGUCAUAUAGUUGCAAUCAUAUGAUAUGUAGCCUUUUCAUAUUUUCUUUCACCCAUUAAUAUGUAUUUUAUAGCUUGAUAGCUUAUUCCUUUUCAGCACUGAAUAAUAUUCUAUUGUCUGGAUACACCACAAUUUAUUUAUCCAUUUACCUACUGAAGCACAUUUUGAUUGCUUUCAAGCUAUGGCAAUUAUGAAUAAAGCUGCUAAAAACAUCUAUGUGCAGCUUUCGGUGCAGACAUACAUUUUCAAUUCCUUUGAGUAAAUACCAAGGAAUAUAAUUGUCCUAGUAUAUGGUAACAUCAUGCUUUCUUUUGUAAAAAAAAACUGCCAGAGUGGCUUUACCAUUUUGCACUCCCAUUAGCAAUGAAUACGAAUUCCUGUUGCUCUACAUCCUUGUCACCUUUUGGUGUUGUCCGUGUUUUAGAUUUUGGCCAUUCUAAUAGCGAUGUUUUGAUUUGCAUUUCUCUGAUGACAUAUGAUUUGGAACAUUUUUUCAUGUAUUCAUGUGGCCUCUGUAUAUCUUUGGUGAGUUGUUUAUUAAGGUCUUUGGCCAAAUUUUACUUUAUUUUUUGUUAAUUUAUUUUUAUUGUUGAAAGUAUUACAUCUGUCCUUUUCUCCCCCAAUUUUAUUUUUAAGUAUAUUUUUAUUGAUUUCAGAGAGGAAGGGAGAGAGAGAUAGAGAUAGGAACAUCAAUAAUGAGAGAGAAUAAUUAAUCGGCUGCCUCAUGAAUGCCCUCCACUGGGCAUGUGCUCUGCCUGAGAUUCAAACCAUGACCUCCUGUUUCAUGGGUCGAUGCUCAACCACCGAGCCAUGCUGGCUGGGCUCCCCCCAAUUUUAAAUCAAGUUGUUUAUUUUCUUAUUGUUGCAUUUAAUAGUUCUUUCUGUAUUUUGUGUAACAAUGCUUUAUCUGAUGUUUGUGUGUUGUUUUUUUUAAUAUUUUCUACCAGUCUGUGGCUUGUCUUCUCAUUUUCUUGACAUGGUCUUUUGGAGAGUCUUUAAUUUUAAAGACUAGCUUAUCAAUCAUUUCUUCAUGGAUUGAGUCUUAAAAUGUACUUUUCACCCUAGUUGGUUUGGCUCAAUGGAUAGAGCAUCAGCGUGUGAACUGAAGGGUCCCAGGUUUGAUUCGGGUCAAGGAUACUUGCCCUAUUUGUGGGCUCAAUCCCCAGUAGGGGGUGUGUAGGAGGCAGCCAGUCAAUGAUUCUCUCUCAUCAUUGAUGUUUCUAUUUCUCCCUCCCCUUUCCUCUCUAAAAUCAAUAAAAAUGUAUUUUUAAAUGUAUUUUUCAAUGUCUUAGAAUUAAAUGCAAACAGAGGAGAAAGUCAAAAGAGAAAAUUAACAUUAUGAUGUAAUAUAUUUUCAAUGCCAAAAUUACAUAUAAUUUAACUACAAAAAAUUUGAUGUUUAUAGGAUUUUAUUAUAGGAGAGUACACCAUUAUAGUGGGUUACAGAAAUUGUCACACUUAGAUGCACUGCUAUAGCAUAUUUUCAUCCCAAUAUUGUAAAGCUAAGAAAUAAGCAAUUUUGCCCAGGAAGUAAGUGGUGAGGGAAUUUUUGCAGCUAAUGGAAAUGUACAUUUUAAUAAAGAAAUUUUUGUUAGAAUUUUUUAAUAGUUCUUCUAAUGCAUCUUAUUUAAUGGACAGUUUAGGUCAACAAAAUCUGGCUGGCUAAUUAAAAAUUAAACUCUACUUGAAAGGACAAAUUUAUUUCAUCAACAACCUGUAUAUCAAGACAUAACUGUUGUGUUUGGUCUCUUAGGAGCGCUUUGGAGUUAACUUGUACUUGGAGUUGUAUAAAUUCCUCAAUGUUAGGAGAUUUGACCUUUUUCUCAUUCGAUCUUUGAAUUUUCUGCCAAGACUGGAUGCCUAAAAUGACAAACUACUACAAGAAAAGUGUCUUGUAAUUUUCUGGCAGUUGCCCAGAAUAUAAUAUAGGAAGUGAGACUGAAAAGUACAUUCUAUGAGAAACCACUGAAGCAAUAAUUUUUAAGAUGUUACUCUAGUGACCUGAAAGACAUGAUGCAGGUUCAAAAUAAAAAAAAAAGAUAAAAGAAAAAUAUUCAUGUAUCCAGGGAGUAACUUACCAAUAAGUUUUGGAACACAGCAGAAAACAAAUAAAAAAAACAACAACAACAAAUAAAAACAAAACUCUAAGAGAACUAGAGGUCAUUUAAUGCAAGUAUUUUCAUUUUAGUCUCAUUAUGAAAGUUCAAAAAUGCAUGUUGUUAACACAUUUGUUGUUAUAUGUUACAGACAUUGUAUAAAAUUAUGAUGAUAAUUAUACUAUUUUACAUGUUAGUUUACAUGACAGAAAUCCACUGAUUUUCUAUAGCUUCUGAAUUAAUGGUAAUGCCUUCUUUAUAUUUUAAGCAGUUUAGUAUUUACAUAUUUCUUUCAGUUUCAUUUAUCACAAAGAGUUUCUGUAUAAAUUUGAUUAUAUUAUAAAAGUUCUUUGUACUUAUAGGAAAUGAAUAAUUGUGGACCACAUCAUGAUUUUUGUCUUGAAUUUUGUUUGCAUUUGUAAAAUUUGCCUGUGAUGUUACCUAUGCUAUUUAGUGUCACUCUAUAUAAAGCAUGUCUUUUGGAAGUUGUAUGAUCUAUGGCAGUGAUUCUCAACCUUCCUAAUGCCGCGAUCCUUUAAUACAGUUCCUCAUGGUGUGGUGACCCCCAACCAUAAAAUUAUUUUCAUUGCUACUUCAUAACUGUAAUUUUGCUACUGUUAUGAAUCGUGAUGUAAAUAUCUGAUAUGCAGGAUUAUUUUCAUUGUUACACAUUGAACAUAAUUAAAGCAUAGUGAUUAAUCACAAAAAAUAUAUGUGUUUUCCGAUGGUCUUAGGCGACCCUGUGAAAGGGUGGUUCUACCUCCAAAGGGGUUGCGACCCACAGGUUGAGAACCACUGAUCCAUAGUUUUUUCUUUGACUCCAUCACAGUCAGAGUUUCUUAUUUGUAUGUUGUUUGAAUAGAAGGUUUUAUGUUAUUUACAAGUGUUAUAAAAAUAUUUGGCUCA